UGAGCUCUCAUUGUUUGCUACAGUGUAAUGCCUCCAUCUCUUUUUAGGUUUUACGAGAGGCGAAGGAGAAAGAAGAGAUACGGACCUCCAAUGAGGUUACCGUGGAAACAGACAAGAAAACUCAUUAUGGGCUACUCUUUGAUGAAUUUCAAGGCCUUUCACAUCUAGAAGCUCUGGAGAUGCUUUCCCAAGAAAGUGAAAUAAAGGUGAAAUCUAUCCUUAAUUCUCUGAGUGGAGAAGAAUUAGAGACUCUAAAAGUUGAAUUAGAGCAACUCAAAGAAACAUUUUCUCUAGCAGAAUUUUGUGAAGAAGAGGAAGAAGAGAAAAAAGGUAAUAUGAAAAUUUAGUAUCUGAGUGGAGAGGAUGCAGUGUGUUUGUAUGCAGUGCAUUGCCCUUGAAAUAAAUUAUUUACUCUUA
rnacentral:lncRNA from 1 species